rnacentral:rRNA from 1 species
GGCGGCCACAGCGGCAGGGAAACGCCCGGACCCAUCCCGAACCCGGAAGCUAAGCCUACCAGCGCCGAUGAUACUG